rnacentral:rRNA from 1 species
CCUACGGGUUGCAGCAGUGGGGAAUAUUGCACAAUGGGCGCAAGCCUGAUGCAGCCAUGCCGCGUGUAUGAAGAAGGCCUUCGGGUUGUAAAGUACUUUCAGCGGGGAGGAAGGCGAUAAGGUUAAUAACCUUGUCGAUUGACGCUACCCGCAGAAGAAGCACCGGCUAACUCCGUGCCAGCAGCCGCGGUAAUACGGAGGGUGCAAGCGUUAAUCGGAAUUACUGGGCGUAAAGCGCACGCAGGCGGUCUGUCAAGUCGGAUGUGAAAUCCCCGGGCUCAACCUGGGAACUGCAUUCGAAACUGGCAGGCUAGAGUCUUGUAGAGGGGGGUAGAAUUCCAGGUGU